AGAGUUUGAUCAUGGCUCAGAUUGAACGCUGGCGGCAUGCUUUACACAUGCAAGUCGAACGGCAGCACAGGGAGCUUGCUCCCGGGUGGCGAGUGGCGCACGGGUGAGUAAUACAUCGGAACGUGUCCUGUUGUGGGGGGAUAACUGCUCGAAAGGGUGGCUAAUACCGCAUGAGACCUGAGGGUGAAAGCGGGGGAUCGCAAGACCUCGCGCAAUUGGAGCGGCCGAUGCCCGAUUAGCUAGUUGGUGAGGUAAAGGCUCACCAAGGCGACGAUCGGUAGCUGGUCUGAGAGGACGACCAGCCACACUGGGACUGAGACACGGCCCAGACUCCUACGGGAGGCAACA
rnacentral:rRNA from 1 species